UGCAUGCACUUCUGCAGCACAGCACGCCGUACAGGCAGGCGCAGCUGGGCCCGACCUCAGAGAUCUCCCCGGCGCAAUCUCGGGUGUACAGCCCAAGCUCUGCAUUCACUUCACCCUAUCCCUGCGGCGCACCGCGCGGGCUGGCAGCUGGGCGUGGCCUCAGAGAUCACAUCGGUGCAAUCUCGGAGGCCGAGCUGGCGCAGCGAAGUUUCCUUGCCUCCUCGAUUACACAGCGGAGCGCUGUGUUGGGUGCCACGCUGCUACUCGACCGGGACGCGCCAAGUCGAAAGCGAGAGACCAUCACAAUGGAAGAGAAGACAGCUCCCUAAAGGCUGUCGCGUCAGGCGCUGCACACGCCGAAUGUUUUUUAAAUGUUUUGUUGUUUUAUUCAAAUUUCAUCGCAUGCGUGGCCUGUGAAGCCGUCUUAUUUCCACGUUUACAAGUGUGUGCUCCCUAUUGGGCCUAUAUUGCAGUAAAUGGAAAUAAUUGAUAUAACGAAUUUCGGCUCCCCUUCUAUUCGUUAUAACGAGGUUCGAGUGUACGUGAAGUGACCACAGCAUCAAACCGACCCAUUUUCAAGUGAAAGCCUGGCACUUCACCGGAAUUUCAUGGCAUGCAGGGAUGCGAGUUGCAACAUCACCCCCUCUCCAGUUGUUCUGCUAAAAUGUCUCCCAGGUGAUUGUAAAAAACAAUUCUGGGGUUUUACAUGCCAAAACCACAAUCAAAUUACGUGGCAUGCCGUAGUGGCGAAACUCCAGAUUAAUUCUGACCGACUCGGUUCUUUAACGUGCACAUAAUCCCAAGUACACGAGCGUAUUUUGCAUUUCGCCCGCAUGCAAAUGAGGCCGCCGACAUCGCACCCACGACCUUGAGCAUAGCCACUACGCUACCACGGCGGGUCCCUGAUGAUUGUGGCAGAAUCAACUCUGCUAAUAAGUAGAGAAUGCUGCAAAGCACAACUUUUUCACAAACAGUAUACCGGCCUUUCCAGUGGGGUGCGAGAACACCUUCCUCUGAACUGUUGCUCGUGGGUACAAAGCGCACUUGCUCCUGACCCCUACGCUUCUGACCAGGUGCUCAUGUAGGCUCACAGCAGACCAAACAGCAUUAUGACAAUUGUCCAGGAAACUCUUAGGAAGGGCCUAAUAAUCAUGGGACUGCUUGGCACUAGUACAGUGUGCUAGAAUACUUCUAGUACACCAUAGUGCUAGCGUCCAGCAACACGGUGAGCUGACGUAUGGCUUGGUAUGGUCCCUUAGAAAUGGGCUCGCGGCCUCGCAUCUAUCGAAAGGCGAACUUCGCGCUCCAUUGCCAGCGCUCACAGCUAAAAAGCAGGCGAGCGGAGCGACGGGGGACGGCGGAACGCUAUGCGCAUGACGUCACCGUGGCUUGGGCAAAUGCUAGUUGGCAUUCUUAUCUUACGCUGUGGUUAUUUAUCUUUCUCGUAUUCCGCCACUAGAAUGCACACUGAUUCACCCGUUUUCCGCGCCUUGUGAAACGGCGCGGGCAACGAGGUAAUCUGCACACUGCACCUCUUUUCCAGCGCAAAAGCCGACACUUUUGUAACCGUUUCGCUCGUUCGUGGGCUGCAGUUGCACUCCGCAGCACGACACGCCCAGAAGCCGCUUCCGACUGCACGCGCGGCAACACUUUCACGGAGCUACUCGUGCGCUGGGCCUUUGGCGAGUGAAGUGCU
rnacentral:lncRNA from 1 species